CCUGAACACACAGUAUUAGUCAAAUUGAAGCCGCUUUGUCGUGUUUCUCUCUCCUUGUUUCCUCAUCAGUAGCUGUUCAGACCAAACCCUUUGCUGUCACACCUGGAGUUCAGGUCAAUCUGCCUUGUAAAAAUGUGACCGAUACUGAGGACAAAUGCAAAAGUACAACCUGGACCUACACUCAUUCAGACAAAUCAAUAACACUGUUUGAAGAGGGGAAGAUUCAUAAAGAUGCCAAAGUUAAAUCAGACAGACUGACACUUGAACCUGACUGCUCUCUGGUUAUAAAGACGGUCACAGCUGAGGAUGAUGGUCGUUACAGCUGCAGACACUUCAGAUCAGGAGAAAGACACGGUGAAGACACUGAUUAUGAUCUGACUGUUGUCACGGGCGAGGCCACAAAACCAAUCAGAGCCAAAGCAACGACAACACCAACAAGUAAAUCAACCAGAUCUACAGCAGCAGCAGCAGAAAGCACACCAUCAGAGACAACCACAGCAGCAUCUACGAUCACUGAUCUAAAACAAGGUGACCACACACGUCACAUUUCUCUGUUUCUCUCAAAUAUUGUUGCGGCUCACCUCUCCAUCCACCAGAAAGUCAUCAAAUAUAAGACAUGUAUACGAUGCAGCAUAAGAACACAUCGCAGCUCAUCAUCACAGCUCCACUGACAGCAUUUCACCCUCCUUGAUUCUCUCUCCAGCUUGGUGGUGGUUCGUCAUCGUGGCCGCUGGUGUAGCAGCGCUCAUAAUAACUGUUGUUGCGCUCGUCAGAUGGAGGAGAACUGAAGGUGAGAACGUUCACAGGUUAAACUUUGUGCCAGGAUUUUCACUGCAGAAGCUCACAGUGACACAUUUUGUCUUUUCAGGGAAUAAAACACAGAUGGAAGAAAACACUGUGAGUUUACAUCAUACAAACUAUAUACCAGCUGUUAAAUGUGACUCCUGGAAUUACACCAGUCGAGCUGAAAUGAAGUGGGGAGAUAAAAGAGCGAGUCAUUUUAGAACUACGUGUUACUGAGCAGCCAUGUUGACUCCUCUGUGCAGGCUGAUCCUGAAGAUGGUGUCCACAGUGAAGAUCAGGUGAGCUGGUGAUGAAUGAAAACACUUCAGGGGUCAGAAACACGGGAAAGAUUCUUUAUUCUACCUUUAAAGUUCACAGGCUUCAUUUAUAAAAAAUGUUACACUCAUUAUUCUCACUAUUUCCAACAGUGUGCUCAUCUUCAAUUCAUAAAAAAGCUGGGCAUAGAGAACUGUCCACUUUUCCACACCCUCUCAGUGUUUCCCUCUGGUGUUGCUGUUGCUGGCGUUUUCACAAAUACAGCGGUAGCAGCCUGGCUCCCACUGGCUACUGUCCAACUAAAAAACAAGAGAGAAAAUCCUGAUUGGACCUAGAAAGCCUGAUCUCAGUGCCGUGAAAAGACAGAGUAAGACCCCGUUUACACGAGGACGCUUGCGGGUAAAAACGACAAAUUAUUUUAUCAGAAGUGCCUUUUGUUUAUACGGUGACGGCAUUUUUGGGGCUUGAAAACGCAAAAAUCUGAAACCACCCUCCAGAGUGGAAAAGUUGAAUACGCUUCACCGCAGCGUUUCCGUGAACACUGGCAAAACGCAAAACUCUGCUCAGAUCUGCUCACGCCGCGUACACGUUUACGUCACAUACAUGCGCCAGUACAGGGAAAUAGACAAACAUGUCGGAUUAUUUCCAUGCAUCAGACCUUCAAGCUGCUCUGGCAGCUCUAAUAAACGUACAAGAGUCUUUCCACGAAAUGUACAGGAUAUGUACAGAUAGUACCACUGAACAGAGAAGGAUCUGUAAUCACCUCUAUCAAAUUUUGGAUGCACCAAUUCGUCGGAGGCGACCCAGGCGGCUUUGGACGAGACCCUAGCCGCCUGGCAUGCAUACCCAAUCGAAUUCCACACACUUCUGCGUCACCGUAUGCACGCAGAUUUCCUCCUGAAAACGCGGAAAAAAAGUGAAGACGCGACGCCACUUUUGCGUCUUCUGUUCCGACCAUCGUGUAAACGUAGCCUGAAACAGUCAGUUGUAUUGAUGAGUGGGCAAACACAUACCAGCGAGGGAACAGACUUUGGCACAACACCGGUGCUCUCCAUCCUGUGAAUGCCGCCCGUUCACUCUUGUCUCACCUCGGUUUCUAUCACUGUCCCUCUUCACUUUCUUUGCCUCCUCCAUCAGCGCCGUUCUUUAGGGUUUCCUCAGUUAUUCCACUUGUUCCACCGUUACGGAGUCAUCCAGAAUCUCAUUUGUAACUUCAGCACAGAUGACCUAUAAAAUAUGAAAUCAGCUUCAAAUUACAGCACCUGCCUUGUAACUUCCCCUCAUAUAAUACCAGCAAAAAUGAGGGUUUAUUCAGGAAAAGCCACAGAGACUGUAGCGGCAUGGAUGUGUUGCUUGUCACUAGGAGGUAAUAUGUGUGUCUGGAGGUACGUCUAUGUGUGGGCGGAGUUAUGGGUGUGUGUGUGUGUCACUGGAGCUGACUGAUUGCUUGAUGAAUGCCACCUGCGUCCAACUGGGAAUUGGUUUGCUUGAUGCAGAGAGUGGAGAGGCAGGGUGCUCAUAUUUCUGUUGACCGCUAAAGCUUGUUACCAUCGUAUAGUUAAUUUCUGCAAGUCCAUCUACAAACUGUACGUACAAAAGUACUUUUCAUUGAAAGGAUAAAUAAACACCCACAAGCUGCAGUGACGGCUUCACGUUUCCUUUUUGGAUAAAGCGCGUCGGACAGAACCCUGUGUUCCCCUCUCUGUGACUAAUUUGGUUUUGAUAGUCACGAUACAGAGACAUUAGAGGAGGUGGAAACCAGGAAACGUGUUAUUCAGUCGACUAAAUAGUGUGUGUUGACAAUCACAGCUGAACACGCAGCUCUGCAGUGUGUUGCUGCUGCACUGCACAUUGUUCAUGAAGCUCAUGUGAAGUUCACCACAGGCUUGGACGCAUCAUACAAACUAUAUACCAGCUGUUGAAUGUGACUCCGGGAUUUACACCAGUCGAGCUGAAAUGAAGUGGAGAGAUGAAAGAGCAAGUCAUUUUAGAACUACGUGUUACUGAGCAGCCAUGUUGUCUCCUCUGUGCAGGCUGAUCCUGAAGAUGGUGUUCACUACACCUCCGUCAGCUUCACCAGGAAGACCGACAGUGAAGAUCAGGUGAGCUGGUGAUGAAUGAAAACACUUCAGAGGUCAGAAACACAGGAAAGAUUCUUUAUUCUACCUUUAAAGUUCACAGGCUUCAUUUAUAAAAGAUGUUGUUACGCUCAUUAUUCUCACUAUUUCCAACAGUGUGCUCACCUUCAAUUCACAAAAAAGUUUACCUCUGGUGUUGCUGCCGUUUUCACAAAUACAGCGGUAGCAGCCUGGCUCCCACUGGCUACUGUCCAACUAAAAAACAACAGAGAAAAUCCCGAUUGGACCUAGAAAGCCUGAUCUCAGUGCUGUGAAAAGACAGAGUAAAACAGUCAGUUGUAUUGAUGAGUGGGCAAACACAUACCAGCGAGGGAACAGACUUUGACACAACACCGGUGCUCUCCGUCCUGUGAAUGCCGUCCGUUCAUUCUUGUCUCACCUCGGUUUCUAUCACUGUCCUCUUCACUUUCUUUGCCUCCAUCAGCGCGGUUCUUUAGGGUUUCCUCAGUUAUUCCACUUGUUCCACCGUUACAGAAUAAAAAUUCUUCGUCCUGAUUUGGUUGUGCAAUGGAGGACUAUUCAAUUCAAUUCAAACUUUCUUAAGGACACAUAUCAUGACAGGUCCACACUACAUGUGUACCGUAAUUGGACCUUUUUUUCUUCAUGCAAUGAAUCCAGACAGCUGACAGUCUGAAUAUCACAGUGAAAGUGAGGUUUAUAAGGAACCAAUCUACGUGGAUGUUAAUAUUUUUCUGCAGCAGUUACACUGUGACUUUAGUAUUUACUUCAGGAGCAAAAAAUUUUUGAGCAAAAAAAAAAAAAAAAGCUGUCUAUUGUCUAACAUGUUCUAAGAAUCUCAUUUGUAACUUCAGCACAGAUGAUC
rnacentral:lncRNA from 1 species